AGAGUUUGAUUAUGGCUCAGGACGAACGCUGGCGGCGUGCUUAACACAUGCAAGUUGAACGACGGUCUUUUGAAGUAGCAAUACGGAAGAAGAUACGGAGUAGCGGACGGGUGAGUACAACAUGAGAAGCUAUCCCAUAAAGGGGGACAACGUUUGGAAACGAACGCUAAUACCCCAUAGGCCGAAAGGUUAAAGCAGAAAUGCGAUAUGGGAGGUGCUCGUGCCCUAUCAGCUAGUUGGUGAGGUAACGGCUCACCAAGGCGACGACGGGUAGCCGGCCUGAGAGGGCGACCGGCCACACUGGAACUGAGAUACGGUCCAGACUCCUACGGGAGGCAGCAGUGGGGAAUAUUGGGCAAUGGGAGAAAUCCUGACCCAGCAACGCCGCGUGAACGAUGAAGGCCCUUGGGUCGUAAAGUUCUUUUGUGCGGGAAGAAGAAAGUGACGGUACCGCACGAAUAAGCCCCGGCUAACUACGUGCCAGCAGCCGCGGUAAUACGUAGGGGGCGAGCGUUGUCCGGAAUUACUGGGCGUAAAGGGCACGCAGGCUGUGCCGCAAGUCGGCUGUAAAAUGAUGCGGCUUAACCGUGUCACGCAGUCGAAACUGCGGUGCUGGAGUACCGAAGAGGCAAGUGGAAUUCCCAGUGUAGCAGUGAAAUGCGUAGA
rnacentral:rRNA from 1 species